GAUCUGAUGGUGUAGUUGGUGACACGCUUGCUCAAAUUUAGCUUCUAGAUAACAUAACUGCGCAAGAGUUCCCGGUUCGAAUCCGGGUCAGGUCA